rnacentral:rRNA from 1 species
GAUGAACGCUGGCGGCGUGCCUAAUACAUGCAAGUCGAGCGAACAGACGAGGAGCUUGCUCCUCUGACGUUAGCGGCGGACGGGUGAGUAACACGUGGAUAACCUACCUAUAAGACUGGGAUAACUUCGGGAAACCGGAGCUAAUACCGGAUAAUAUAUUGAACCGCAUGGUUCAAUAGUGAAAGACGGUUUUGCUGUCACUUAUAGAUGGAUCCGCGCCGCAUUAGCUAGUUGGUAAGGUAACGGCUUACCAAGGCAACGAUGCGUAGCCGACCUGAGAGGGUGAUCGGCCACACUGGAACUGAGACACGGUCCAGACUCCUACGGGCGGCAGCAGUAGGGAAUCUUCCGCAAUGGGCGAAAGCCUGACGGAGCAACGCCGCGUGAGUGAUGAAGGUCUUCGGAUCGUAAAACUCUGUUAUUAGGGAAGAACAAAUGUGUAAGUAACUAUGCACGUCUUGACGGUACCUAAUCAGAAAGCCACGACUAACUACGUG